rnacentral:rRNA from 1 species
UAGGGAAUCUUGCGCAAUGGGGGAAACCCUGACGCAGCGACGCCGCGUGCGGGAUGAAGGCCUUCGGGUUGUAAACCGCCUUCAGCAGGGACGAAAUUGACGGUACCUGCAGAAGAAGGCCCGGCCAACUACGUCCCAGCCGCCGCGGUAAUACGUAGGGGCCUAGCGUUGUCCGGAUUUAUUGGGCGUAAAGAGCUCGUAGGCGGUUCGGUAAGUCAGGUGUGAAAUCUCCACGCUCAACGUGGAGGGGCCACCUGAUACUGCCGUGACUCGAGUCCGGUAGGGGAGUGUGGAAUUCCCGGUGUAGCGGUGAAAUGCGCAGAUAUCGGGAGGAACACCAGUAGCGAAGGCGGCACUCUGGGCCGGAACUGACGCUGAGGAGCGAAAGCGUGGGUAGCAAAC